UGUAACUAGAGAGCUUAUGAAAAGCAGUAGGCUACAUUCCCCUGGUGUCUGAGAGACCCCGUGUAAGUGUGAGAGUAAGCUGUGGCUCCCGCCACUAACGGCCAGGUCCUCUGCAUCUCCCUUUCACAGCCUGAGACUGGGGUCCUUGUGUGCUGGGAUCACACAGGGCAAUGCAUCGAAUCACCUACUGGGGGCAGGGGGGUCCCCAGAGGUCAGGAACUCCAGAACAUCACAGCCAAAGGUUGGUUGGCUGCUUUCUCCCCCUAGCAAAUUGUAAGCUUUUACUGUAAGAGAUUGAACAGUGAAAUGUCUCCGAGGACUGCAUUGUGUGCUGCCUGCUGUCAAAGCAGAGGGUGUUCUGGCUUGAGAGAGGACUUUGGGUUUAAGAGAAUCGUGUUCUUGGCCUGAGGACCGCAUCGUGCUUAGCUAACGUUAAGAGCUAAAGCUUCUGACCAGCCCAUUCAUGCCGAUCAGCAGCCAGGCUUGGGUUGCAUGGACCCUCAUCUUUCUCUGGUCAGGCACAGCAUAGCUUUCUGCUGAUGUAGUUUCUGUUACUGAGCAGUGACUGGCCCUUCUGCUGUGCAGGCCCCUGCUGAGCUCUUCAUGUGAGGUGGUUUCUCACCAGUGCCAUCUCUGUCCUGCACAGGUGCCAUGUGGGUCCUUUACUUGUGGUUCCUGUUCUUUACCCAGUAUUCCUGUUUCACAUGGGUCAAUUUUUGAUCAGGGCAAAAACAUCAAAGAUAGUUGGAGAGUGCUGGCCGCACCUCCGGUGCACAGCCCAGGCAGAUGGUUGAUGUCAGCUGUGCCUGCACAGCCCAGUUUUUUAUAAUGGCCAGAUAUCACUAAUUUCUUCAUUUAAUCUCAUAUAUCUCAGGCUGGCUUCCAGGUCACUUUGUAGCUAAGGAUAACCUUGAACUUCCAGUCUUGCCUCAGCUGCCCUGAUGCUGAUUUAAGCUACAUCGCCCACCCCUCUCUAAGCGUGCACAGUAGUUGCCCGUGUGUGGCUGGUUAGUUUCCUGGGUUACUUUGUUUCAGUACUUAGGGUUGAACUUGGGGCUUGGCACAUGACAGGCAAGUGCCAUAACAGACUAAAUGCAGAGGCAGUUAGAGAAGCCAGCUUCCUUCUGUCAGGUCAGACAUUGAAGAGAUUUGCCAAAAUCUAAAAUGACUUUCUCACUGAAGAGUUCAUAAAAACUAUGUUAACAUGUACCUGGUUUUUACUAUAUGGUCAAUAAACUUCCCUAACUUUAAUUUCUAACAUUAAAUAUUAUUUCAUAGCUUACAAAACUAAAACCUGACUUUAAGGUUUUAUAAAGGCAUCCAAACCUAAGGGGACCUGGACAUUUAGCUCAGUGCUAGGCCACCUGCUACGCUCCGUUCAGUCCUCAUCUCCAAGAUAAAAAAAAUUACAGAAAGACUAAGAAAAAAAUGGCACCCAAAAGGGUUCCGAGUGCAUUAGCCCACAUCUCCUCUUUCAUAAGCUCGUUUCUGUGAACUGUCUGACAUCUCUGAACAUUUGUAGUUUUCUCUUUUAAAACACUGAAUAAAUGUGAUGUUUGCUAGUUUUCAACUUUUCAAAAUUACAAUGUGCUGUAUAUCUAUGUCUCAUCUCUUAUACCUACAUAUUUGUCAAAAUGUUUGCAUUCUGAUAAUGAUAAUGUAUGGUCC
rnacentral:lncRNA from 1 species